GAUGAAGAACGUAGCGAAAUGCGAUAAGUAAUGCGAAUUGCAGAAUUUCCGUGAAUCAUCGAAUCUUUGAACGCACAUUGCGCCCGUCAGUAUUCUGGCGGGCAUGCCUGUUCGAGCGUCAUUACGCCCCUCAAGUCCCCUGUGGACUUGGUGUUGGGGAUCGGCGAGGCUGGUUUUCCAGCACAGCCGUCCCUUAAAUUAAUUGGCGGUCUCGCCGUGGCCCUCCUCUGCGCAGUAGUAAAACACUCGCAACAGGAGCCCGGCGCGGUCCACUGCCGUAAAACCCCCCAACUUUUUAUAGUUGACCUCGAAUCAGGUAGGACUACCCGCUGAACUUAAGCAUAUCAAAAGCGGAGGA
rnacentral:misc_RNA from 1 species